CCUACGGGAGGCAGCAGUGGGGAAUAUUGCACAAUGGGGGAAACCCUGAUGCAGCGACGCCGCGUGAGUGAAGAAGUAAUUCGUUAUGUAAAGCUCUAUCAGCAGGGUAGACAAUGACGGUACCUGAGUACGAAGCCCCGGCUAACUACGGGCCAGCAGCCGCGGUAAUACGUAGGGGGCAAGCGUUAUCCGGAUUUACUGGGUGUAAAGGGAGCGUAGACGGCAGUGCAAGUCUGGAGUGAAAGGCGGGGGCUCAACCCCCGGACUGCUCUGGAAACUGUACGGCUGGAGUGCAGGAGAGGUAAGUGGAAUUCCUAGUGUAGCGGUGAAAUGCGUAGAGAUUAGGAGGAACACCAGUGGCGAAGGCGGCUUAAUGGACUGUAACUGACGUUGAGGCUCGAAAGCGUGGGGAGCAAACAGGAUUAGAUACCCCAGUAGUC
rnacentral:rRNA from 1 species